rnacentral:SRP_RNA from 1 species
GGCGGGCCCCCCCGCAUUGAGGCUUGGGAACCUGGUCAGGUCGGGAACGAAGCAGCCAUAACCAAUCACCCCAAGUGCCGGGGUCAGGCUCGCCAAA